UACAGAGGGGGCAAGCGUUGUUCGGAAUUACUGGGCGUAAAGGGCGCGUAGGCGGCCCGCUAAGUCGAACGUGAAAUCCCUGGGCUCAACCCAGGAACUGCGUCCGAUACUGGCAGGCUUGAAUCCGGGAGAGGGAUGUGGAAUUCCAGGUGUAGCGGUGAAAUGCGUAGAUAUCGAGAGGAACACCAGUGGCGAAGGCGAGUCCCUGGACAAAACCUGACACUGAGGCACGAAAGCUAGGGGAGCAAACAGG
rnacentral:rRNA from 1 species